rnacentral:sRNA from 1 species
AUUUUUUUUUUCGGUUUUUCUAUGCCUUAGAUGAAUGCAGACUCAAAAUUAUACACAAUGCAACACACACUUCCUGAGCCCUCCCCCAAACUUAAAUCACACAGUCCACUGUGUGAAUAAACUUGGAAGAGAGUACUCAGGACAAAUCCAAUCACAGAAACAAAAAAGGAAGAAACAAAUCACAACAGACGGUAUAAUACAAUGGUGAAGUGAGGCGCUUACCUUAGUCGAAGAAUGAACGUAGUUGCUCGUCAAUGGCUGCCUGCGAUUGCUCCCAGGCCAUAGACGAACCUCCUUGUUCUGUAUCAGCUCCAGCAGAUGGGUACUCGACCUCAUCAGCUCUGUGGCGGCCAGCACCGCUCUGAGGAAACUUGACCUCUCUCCUUCUGCUGCGGCCAGCACCGCGGUCGAGUGAUCUCCUCGAGUGAAUGAGGCGUGAUCUGCUGCUAGAUCGAGUGAGUGUAGCCUUCCUUCUUCUCUUGUGUUCCCGGGAUUCGAAUGACGAAUGCCUAGCCUGGACAUGUGGGACUCUCUGCUCGCUAAGCUCAGGCCUGUGCGUAGGUGCAUUAAUUCUCCUCGAUGGCAUUUCCAUAGGAGGUUGUACCUGUGGAAUAGCAGUGGUGGAGGAAGAGCAACUCAGCUUGUCUGUCAGAAGCUUGAAACACUUGGCGAUCAGCCUGUCCUGCUUCUUGCACCACUUCUGCAAUUUACUGUUAUUCUUAUGAGCUUCAGUCAAGCUCUUGCUCUGCCUCGCUGGAGGUACAUGUUCAGCAAAGUGAUACAUGCUAGUGUCGAACUUUACUGCUCCAUCUUCAUCCAUCCCAUCCGAAGCAGCUUCUUCAAGAAGAUCGUCCUCAUCUAAUGGUGGAGCGUUCUCAUAGUAGAGGCGUCCAAUCUCAGGCCUAAAAUCAAUGUUAUCUCUCUCGAUUAUCCGUGUGACCUCAGGGCUAGGGAGAAGGAUGUUAGCUCUCCUGUCUGUAGAGUGCUCAAACCUGAACCUGUGGAAAUCGUCAACCAUUGCAAACUCCAGGAAUUCGCAGUGACGUAGGUGCUCGAUAUCCAUUGCUCGUGGCUCGAGUCCAGCAGAAAUGAGUGGGACUCCACAAGCUAUCAGAAUAGGUGUCACCACGCCACCUAUGCACAGAGCGCCUCGUGCUCUCUUGCGGUUAUUGCUGACCGCCCAGUUUUUGUAUCCACACAGAUGGAUCAGAAGAAGUAUAGAGAGAGGUGUGUUAUUGACUUCACCCUGGAGGGACAUGCCAUUUUUAGUUUGGCGGAGAGUUCCUUUGAGGGCCAUUGCGAUCAUCUCCAUAUCAGAGUUAGUGACAGUCCCUGUAAUCUCUCGGGAGUAGAGUACGUUGGCUACAGAACGCUGGAAGUACCUGAUGACAGGGCUGCGUAUCUGAUUGCUCUUUGACCUGGAAGCAUUCAACGGUACAGAGCUGCCGAUGGUGAUCCACAAGUCUUUCAACUCUUCUCUUUCAUACUUUGGCUUAGAUCCCGUUCCACUGGGAAAAUCAAACAAUCCUUCCAAUCGCUUGAUUGAUAACCUGUACUCAUGACCAUACACAGAAAAUCGCAAGAAUCCCAAUCCUUCACAAUCCAACUCAUCAGAGGUCAUACCUUGGUAGAGCUCUACUUGUAGUGUGGAGAGGAAUUGUAUUGUCUCAUCUUCAUAUGCUACAUACAGAUAAGCCAUCAAAGUGUCCAGAUGACAACUUUGGUACAGGUGCUGAACAUCUUCCAACAAUCCGAGUUGUGCAAGUGAGGUCGAGCAAGGAUACCUCGUGCUACUGAACUCAUUCAGCUUGAAAAGCCUAACAUAUUCCUCAGCAGGCAAUAUGUCGGGCUUGUGCAGAAGUUUGGUAGCUCUGCGAGUCUGUUCAGGCAUGUACUCGUCCUCCAGAUCUUCGUCUAUAAGCUCAUACCUCUCUCUCAUCGUUCUCUUUCCUCGGGCUAUCUCAGCUUUCCUUCUGAAACUUUCGUAUUCUCUCUGUUCUCUCUCUGGCCUUGAAGAUGACGAUUCUGUCUCAUCCAUGUUGUAGUCAGGAUCAACAGAAGAACUGCCACUGUAAUUGCUCAUGAUUCUCCUGUAGGGAUUUAGAACUCAAAGCUCAAAUGUCAAUAGGUUAGUCUCAAAGAUAGCAAUGAAACAAAAUUAUUGUCAAUAGGCAAUGAAACAGAUUGAAAAGGUCGAGUACAAUUCCGUACUCGAGUAACCUGAGCUGUUCCUGAGCUUAGAUGAAAUGGAUCGAGUAUCUUCUCAGAGGUCGAGUUGUGGUGCUUCAGUGGGUCGAGUGAAUCGUAGAGAUAGAGUGAAUCGUGAAAGCUAGUGGUCGAGUAGCUUCUCUGAAGUUGGAAGGCUCUACUGAGUUCACGAACAAGAAGCCGAGUAUAAUAUUGCAGGGGUCGAGUGCUUUUAGGAGGUCGAGUGAUUUCUUGAAGUCGGCUAGGACGGCGUCGGUCGAGUGCCUCGACGAGACCGGGAAGCGAGGUCGAUCGGUUUCUUUUGAAAGAGAUGACGGUUGAUGCGAAUGAAUUGGUCGAGUAUAUGGAAGGAAUCGAGUGAAGUGGUUUGGUCGGUUGACGGAGUGGAUGGGCUGGUGACGGCGCGAGGGAGUGGUCGAGUGAAUUUCUCAGUGGUCGAGUAGCUCUUUGGGCGGCGAUUUGUGGUGUAGGGAGAUUAGAGUGUCGGCGGUGAAAUGAAAAGUGGAAGGUCGAGUGGAUUUGGAGUGGUCGAGUAGCGCUUCAAAAUGAGUGGUCUAGGUUGAGUUUUAGAUUCUCUCUCUAGCUUAUCCUCAGCGCGUGGUCCACACACUGUUGAUUGAGAAAAUUUCUUUGCAGAAAACCUACUGUAAACUGUAGGAGAUUUCUGCAGGUCUCUGUAGCUUCUGUUGGUCGAGUAAAAUGAUGAUUUAAAAUUUUUGGGUUUUAAACAUCACAUAUGCUCGACCAAUGUACUCGAGUGCAGGGUCUCAGGUGCAACAGAAAAUUUUCAAAAUUUUGUACUCCAACGGGCUGUACACUCGAUCUCCAGGUCUUCGACAGAGUAAAAGUUUUAAAUUUUUACUCUAUCUCCGCGUUGUUCUCUUGUCUCUGAAAACCACAAACACAACUAAAACAAAUCAAAAAUAUCAAGAAGGUAAAAAUUAUUUACAAGGAUAGUCAUGGGACUUCCUCCCAAGUGAGCUUGUUUAAAGUCAUUAGCUUGACUCCUUUACUCCUUUAAUCAUCAAGAAGCUCCUGGAGAUGAACCGAUGUCACCUCUGGAAGGAUUUGGUCCGCUAAGUAUUUCUUGAGCCUUUGACCAUUUACUGUAAAAUCUCCACUCUUACCAGCUAGAGUGACUGCUCCAUAAGGACGGACCUCAGUGAUGUAGAAGGGGCCAGACCAUCUGGAUUUAAGUUUUCCUGGAAAGAGUUUCAAGCGAGAGUUGAAUAGCAGCACCUGAUCACCAACCUGGAAAUCUUUAGUGAUGAUCUUCUUGUCAUGGAAAAGCUUGGUUCUCU